UACGAAGGGGGCUAGCGUUGUUCGGAAUUACUGGGCGUAAAGCGCGUGUAGGCGGGUCUUUAAGUCAGGGGUGAAAUGCCAAGGCUCAACCUUGGAACUGCCUUUGAUACUGGAGACCUUGAGUCCGGGAGAGGUGAGUGGAAUUGCGAGUGUAGCGGUAAAAUGUGUAGAUAUAUGGAAGAACAUCAAUAACGGCGAAGGCAGUUAACUAUUCUGUUACUGACGUUGAGGCACGAAAGCGUGGGGAGCAAAACGG
rnacentral:rRNA from 1 species